UAGACCUGGCGGAGGCCUACCUGCAAGUCGAGCGGAAACGAGUNUCAAAGCCUUCGGGUGGCGAUAACGGCGUCGAGCGGCGGACGGGUGAGUAAUGCCUAGGAAAUUGCCCUGAUGUGGGGGAUAACCAUUGGAAACGAUGGCUAAUACCGCAUGAUGCCUACGGGCCAAAGAGGGGGACCUUCGGGCCUCUCGCGUCAGGAUAUGCCUAGGUGGGAUUAGCUAGUUGGUGAGGUAAGGGCUCACCAAGGCGACGAUCCCUAGCUGGUCUGAGAGGAUGAUCAGCCACACUGGAACUGAGACACGGUCCAGACUCCUACGGGAGGCAGCAGUGGGGAAUAUUGCACAAUGGGCGCAAGCCUGAUGCAGCCAUGCCGCGUGUGUGAAGAAGGCCUUCGGGUUGUAAAGCACUUUCAGUCGUGAGGAAGGUAGUGUAGUUAAUAGCUGCAUCAUUUGACGUUAGCGACAGAAGAAGCACCGGCUAACUCCGUGCCAGCAGCCGCGGUAAUACGGAGGGUGCGAGCGUUAAUCGGAAUUACUGGGCGUAAAGCGCAUGCAGGUGGUUUGUUAAGUCAGAUGUGAAAGCCCGGGGCUCAACCUCGGAAUAGCAUUUGAAACUGGCAGACUAGAGUACUGUAGAGGGGGGUAGAAUUUCAGGUGUAGCGGUGAAAUGCGUAGAGAUCUGAAGGAAUACCGGGGCGAAGCGGCCCCCUGGCAGAUACUACACUCAGAUCGAAAGCGUGGACAACG
rnacentral:rRNA from 1 species